AUUGAACGCUGGCGGCAUGCCUUACACAUGCAAGUCGAACGGCAGCACGGGAGCAAUCCUGGUGGCGAGUGGCGAACGGGUGAGUAAUAUAUCGGAACGUGCCCAGUCGUGGGGGAUAACGCAGCGAAAGCUGUGCUAAUACCGCAUACGAUCUAAGGAUGAAAGCGGGGGAUCGCAAGACCUCGCGCGAUUGGAGCGGCCGAUAUCAGAUUAGCUAGUUGGUGGGGUAAAGGCCCACCAAGGCGACGAUCUGUAGCUGGUCUGAGAGGACGACCAGCCACACUGGAACUGAGACACGGUCCAGACUCCUACGGGAGGCAGCAGUGGGGAAUUUCGGACAAUGGGCGCAAGCCUGAUCCAGCAAUGCCGCGUGCAGGAUGAAGGCCUUCGGGUUGUAAACUGCUUUUGUACGGAACGAAACGGCCCUUUCUAAUACAGGGGGCUUAUGACGGUACCGUAAGAAUAAGCACCGGCUAACUACGUGCCAGCAGCCGCAGUAAGAC
rnacentral:rRNA from 1 species